UGUGACAAAAUUAUGUGGUUAGAGUAAGUUGUUUAUUUUAUUAAAUGUGUGUGCUGAAAUUAUGUGUGUCUCUGUGUGUUGAUUUGUUUUAUUUUUUAUUUCUUCUAAAUUAAGAAGAUAAAAAGGAAAUGAAAACGAGUUAUCAUAUUUUGGCAUAAGAUGACAAGGCUGAUAUUUUUUAUUGUGUUUACAUGUAGAUAAGGUUUAGGUGAGGUGUAAGGAGAGGAAAUGGUGGGAUUUAGCUUAUUUUGUGUGAUAUGAUUUGAGCUUUUCACACUUGAGUUUUUCCUUAGGGUUAGGUCACUAGAGUAUUAUAAAUAGAAGACAUGUGAGCCUUGGAGAACCAUUUUGGUGGCUGCCAAAUUAUUGAGAGAAAGAGGGAGGAGAGCACGAAAAAAAGAGAAAGAAAAAGAAAGAAAGAAAGAAUGAGGGAAAUAAGGAGAAGAGGAAAGGGGUUUCAAGAAUCUCUAGGUGUAUUUUGAAAUCCCCAGGGUCCUAAUGAUUAAUUUUCUUUGUGUUCUUGAGAACUACCACAGAGAUAAACACUAGGUGGACUUGUUUGGCACGCAUGAUGAGCUGAGUAAGUUUUCCAUAAUUAUGUAUAUAUGCUACAAAGAGCCAUUGAACAAGAAAAAAAUAUGGAACGCCAUAGUACCUUAAUGUCUUUCGUUAUGUAAAUUUAUCAGUGGGAUGUACUUAUUUAUUUUUAACACUGCAUCAAAUUCUGUUUUGUUUUGAACAUUUGAUCCAAACUCUGCAUUUGUUUUAAGUAAAGACCCAUUGUAUUUCCAGCCAGAUUACAAAAUCAUGAAGUU